rnacentral:rRNA from 1 species
AAAUAGACUGCUAAUACCGCAUAAGCGCACAGUAUCGCAUGAUACAGUGUGAAAAACUCCGGUGGUACAAGAUGGACCCGCGUCUGAUUAGGUAGUUGGUGGGGUAACGGCCUACCAAGCCGACGAUCAGUAGCCGACCUGAGAGGGUGACCGGCCACAUUGGGACUGAGACACGGCCCAAACUCCUACGGGAGGCAGCAUG